rnacentral:rRNA from 1 species
GUGGGGAAUAUUGCACAAUGGGCGGAAGCCUGAUGCAGCGACGCCGCGUGGGGGAUGACGGCCUUCGGGUUGUAAACUCCUUUCACCAUCGACGAAGGUUUUCUGACGGUAGAUGGAGAAGAAGCACCGGCUAACUACGUGCCAGCAGCCGCGGUAAUACGUAGGGUGCGAGCGUUGUCCGGAAUUACUGGGCGUAAAGAGCUCGUAGGUGGUUUGUCGCGUCGUCUGUGAAAUUCCGGGGCUUAACUCCGGGCGUGCAGGCGAUACGGGCAUAACUUGAGUACUGUAGGGGAGACUGGAAUUCCUGGUGUAGCGGUGAAAUGCGCAGAUAUCAGGAGGAACACCGGUGGCGAAGGCGGGUCUCUGGGCAGUAACUGACGCUGAGGAGCGAAAGCAUGGGUAGCGAACAGGAUUAGAAACCCCUGUAGUCC